rnacentral:rRNA from 1 species
GAUGAACGCUGGCGGCGUGCCUAACACAUGCAAGUCGAGCGUGAUUAAAUGGAUUGGAGAGCUUGCUCAAAGAGAAAUUUAUGAAAGCGGCGGACGGGUGAGUAACGCGUGGGCAACCUGCCCUGUGCGAGGGGGAUAGCCACUGGAAACGGUGAUUAAUACCCCAUGGAGCUAUUGAGUCGCAUGACUCGAUGGUGAAAGUUCCGGCGGCACAGGAUGGGCCCGCGUCUGAUUAGCUAGUUGGUGAGGUAACGGCUCACCAAGGCGACGAUCAGUAGCCGACCUGAGAGGGUGAACGGCCACACUGGAACUGAGACACGGUCCAGACUCCUACGGGAGGCAGCAGUGGGGAAUAUUGCACAAUGGGCGCAAGCCUGAUGCAGCAACGCCGCGUGAGUGAAGAAGGCUUUUGGGUCGUAAAGCUCUGUCCUAGGGGAAGAAUAAAUGACGGUACCCUGGGAGGAAGCCCCGGCUAACUACGUGCCAG